rnacentral:misc_RNA from 1 species
ACACCAGAGGUCGUUGAUAUAUUUUAUAAAACGAAAGUGACGUAUUUUGUUACCAGUGUAGAGAUGUUAGGAUGCCAGUUAUUCCAUUUGACAUUAACCGAAAUACAAGAAAAGUUUAACAAGAUUUAUUUUCAUGUAUAAAACAUAUGAAUUUUGUUAUGGCUCUUACUUCGAAUUUAGCGCCAGAAAUUUGCUGUAAUGACAUUUAUAUAAAGAUUGCUGUAGGAAAUCCUAUUCUGCAUUAUACUUGGGAAAAUGGUCAAUUCACAACUUACGCUAUCAAUAUUGAGACAAAUAGUCCUUCCUUUGCAUUAUCAAAAUCAACUAUAAGACGUAGAUAUUCAGAAUUUGUUCAGUUUAGGAAAAUGUUGAAGUCCCAGCAUCCAGCAAUACAACCACCACCUCUUCCAUCAAGAUCGCUGUUCAAAAAUAGAUUUGAUCCAGAUUUUAUAGAGGAAAGAAGUCAGGGAUUGGAAAAAUUUUUGCAAAAAGUUUUUUCAAUAUCCCUUUAUUUGUCAAAUAAAACUGUCCAUCUGUUUUCACAAACUAAAUUUUCAAUGGAUGAAAUAUCAUCUAUAGUGAUUGGAGGUGACAUAAAUGUUUGUAACUCUGAACCAUUACCAAAAGCAGAAAGAAUUUGAUGACACAUUUUUAUGAAUAUCUUAUUUGGUGAUAUAACAAAUGAUUUGUAUUGUGACUUGAUCAAGUCAUUUUUUCUUUUUCUCUCUGGGCUCUCUUCCCCUUCCAAUUGGACUACUACCAUUCUUUUUUGCAAUCUAUCUUUUCCUAGUAUUGGUUGGCCUUAGGCAGUACUUCCAAAAGAAGGGUCAUGGGACAGUAUCAAGGAAGAAGGGGUCAUAUUGGAUGUACUUCUGUCAGAGGAAGGUGGUGAGAUAGUGAGCAUGGGAAGACUUGAAAGAGGACUAAGAAUCCAUUUCCAUUGUGAAUUGACUUAACAGAAUUUCAUUGACAAAAUCACCCAGUAGAGAAGCCAACAGACAUGUAUGAGCAGACCAGGAGUAGCAUGGAAGAAGUAAGAAAAACCCUCUUAGAAAAAGGAAAUUCGUAAAGAAAAAAAGGAAG